UAACACGUGGAUAACCUACCCUUGGGACUGGAAUAACCCCGGGAAACUGGGGAUAAUACCGGAUAGAUCAGGGAUGCUGGAAUGCACCUUGAUCCAAAGCUCCGGCGCCCAAGGAUGGGUCUGCGGCCUAUCAGGUAGUAGUGGGUGUAACGUACCUACUAGCCAACGACGGGUACGGGUUGUGAGAGCAAGAGCCCGGAGAUGGAUUCUGAGACACGAAUCCAGGCCCUACGGGGUGCAGCAGGCGCGAAACCUUUACAAUGUGCGAAAGCAUGAUAAGGGAACUCCGAGUGCCAGUAUCUAAUACUGGCUGUCCUUGUGCCUAAAACGCACAAGAUAGCAAGGGCCGGGUAAGACCGGUGCCAGCCGCCGCGGUAACACCGGCGGCCCGAGUGGUAGCCGCUAUUAUUGGGUCUAAAGGGUCCGUAGCCGGUUCGAUAAGUCCUCUGGGAAAUCUGGUUGCUUAACAAUCAGACUACCAAGGGAUACUGUCGAACUUGAGACCGGGAGAGGUAAGAGGUACUUCAGGGGUAGGAGUGAAAUCUUGUAAUCCCUGGGGGACCAUCUGUGGCGAAGGCGUCUUACCAGAACGGGUCUGACGGUGAGGGACGAAAGCUGGGGGCGCAAACCGGAUUAGAUACCCGGGUAGUCCCAGCCGUAAACGAUGCUCGCUAUGUGUCAGGUACGGUGUGACCGUAUCUGGUGCCGUAGGGAAGCCGUGAAGCGAGCCACCUGGGAAGUACGGCCGCAAGGCUGAAACUUAAAGGAAUUGGCGGGGGAGCACUACAACGGGUGGAGCCUGCGGUUUAAUUGGAUUCAACGCCGGAAAUCUUACCGGGGGAGACAGCAGCAUGAAGGUCAGGCUGAAGACCUUACCAGAUCCGCUGAGAGGAAGUGCAUGGCCGUCGUCAGUUCGUACUGUGAAGCAUCCUGUUAAGUCAGGCAACGAGCGAGACCCGUGCCCACAGUUGCCAGCAUACCCUUCGGGGUGAUGGGUACUUUGUGGGGACCGCCGCUGCUAAAGCGGAGGAAGGAGCGGGUUACGGUAGGUCUGUAUGCUCCGAAACUCCCGGGCUACACGCGGGCUACAUGGUUGGGACAUGGGAAUCA
rnacentral:rRNA from 1 species